GGUGAUUGUAGUGUAAUGGGAACAUACGAAGCUGUGAACUUCGUGUACAGGGAUCGAAACCCGCUGUCACCCC
rnacentral:tRNA from 1 species